rnacentral:misc_RNA from 1 species
GAACCUGACUGCUUACAUGGAUAGGAUGUUAUCUGUUCCUGCUGUACAGAAAUGUCGUCUUAGUACAGAAAACCAUCUUGAAUUUUACCAGAGUGUAAAAAAUGGCGCACCUAACUAUAACGUUGGACUGUAGUGAUUGCCGAGACUUUCGUUUGGUUAGGCCAUGAUCAGACAGAACUUUGAAUGAGGCAGAAUGACAAUUAAUCCUUCAUCAAUGAAAUCCAAUUAUAAGUUAUACAAACUUGAUUUCUAUUUUACGAAUAUACUACAUACAUGUAUAUAGAUAACAUUUUUGUUCCCCGAGCCUCUGGUUCUGAGGUUUUCUAUCGUGAUAAGUAUGAUCAAAGUAAGACAUGGAUUUUGCAAAAUGUGUACAAGCCGCAGCUAGGUGAGAUAACGGAUUACAAGAUUAUCUUCGCAAAAAAUAUUAGGCAGCUGACGUAAAAAAUUAACCAUGACAUAGCAUGCAGGUUCAUCCCCCCUCCCCACAUUUUCCUUGAUGUUUUCCGUGUUUUCCAUUUCCAUCUUUUAUAGCUCAUUUUAAACAAAAUUUGGUGAAAUGCAGCACAAAAUAUUAAAUAACGAUUAUGAAAACGUGUUUAAAAAUUUUAAAAUGAAUAUACAUGCAACUUUCAUUUGUCUACACUUGAAGCUCAUGGGGAUGAAAACUACUAUAAACGUUUACCAUUAUGCCAAUAGUGAGGCUUCAAGGGAGCUAGAAAAUAAGAAAUUAAAUCGUUGCUUAAGUUGAUUCAUGUACGUGAUUUUCUUGUAGAAAAUCGUAAAAAAAUAAAUAUAAAUAAAC